CCUACGGGGUGCUGCAGUGGGGAAUAUUGCACAAUGGGCGCAAGCCUGAUGCAGCCAUGCCGCGUGUGUGAAGAAGGCCUUCGGGUUGUAAAGCACUUUCAGCGGGGAGGAAGGCGUUAAGGUUAAUAACCUUGUCGAUUGACGUUACCCGCAGAAGAAGCACCGGCUAACUCCGUGCCAGCAGCCGCGGUAAUACGGAGGGUGCAAGCGUUAAUCGGAAUUACUGGGCGUAAAGCGCACGCAGGCGGUCUGUCAAGUCGGAUGCGAAAUCCCCGGGCUCAACCUGGGAACUGCAUUCGAAACUGGCAGGCUAGAGUCUUGUAGAGGGGGGUAGAAUUCCAGGUGUAGCGGUGAAAUGCGUAGAGAUCUGGAGGAAUACCGGUGGCGAAGGCGGCCCCCUGGACAAAGACUGACGCUCAGGUGCGAAAGCGUGGGGAGCAAACAGGAUUAGAUACCCCUGUAGUC
rnacentral:rRNA from 1 species